CCUACGGGAGGCAGCAGUAGGGAAUCUUCCACAAUGGGCGAAAGCCUGAUGGAGCAACGCCGCGUGGGUGAAGAAGGUCUUCGGAUCGUAAAACCCUGUUGUUAGAGAAGAAAGUGCGUGAGAGUAACUGUUCACGUUUCGACGGUAUCUAACCAGAAAGCCACGGCUAACUACGUGCCAGCAGCCGCGGUAAUACGUAGGUGGCAAGCGUUAUCCGGAGUUAUUGGGCGUAAAGGGAACGCAGGCGGUCUUUUAAGUCUGAUGUGAAAGCCAUCGGCUUAACCGGAGUAGUGCAUUGGAAACUGGGAGACUUGAGUGCAGAAGAGGAGAGUGGAACUCCAUGUGUAGCGGUGAAAUGCGUAGAUAUAUGGAAGAACACCAGUGGCGAAAGCGGCUCUCUGGGCUGUAACUGACGCUGAGGUUCGAAAGCGUGGGUAGCAAACAGGAUUAGAUACCCGUGUAGUC
rnacentral:rRNA from 1 species